rnacentral:misc_RNA from 1 species
AACACAUCUGGGACAUGACCGGUUGGGGGAACUUUUAGAAACGUGCUGGUGGCUGCAAAGCACGACGAACCAAACCAGGUUGCUCCCCAGGGGAUAAUUUAGUGAUCAACCCCCACGGGGGAUUAAAAGUGGCAAACGAAUCCAUCGUUGCAAGCAGAGUGGUACCGCGUCGACCGGCGUCUCUGUC